rnacentral:misc_RNA from 1 species
AACGCACGAGACCUGCGGACCUGCGGAAGGAUCAUUAACAAAUUUGUUGAGUAUGUACAAUUGUGAACAGGCCAGAGUUUGUAUCUGAAGAAGCAUUUGUGUUGCUGAAUAAGCAAUUAUUUGUGUAGCUAAAUAUUUGUGUAGCUGAAUAUUGCGAAGCAGAUAAGCAAUUAUUUGUGUAGCUGAAUAUUUGUCUAGCUGAAUAAGCAAAUUCACUACAAAAUUUUGGCAGCUUUAUCA